AGAUCGAAAUUCAGACUUAUACCGACAUUCAAAAGUUACCAUAUUCACAUGGCUUAUAUACAACAACAUCUUCAAAAUAUCAUCCACAUAAGUCUAGUCUAUACAUGCCAUACAAAUUCCAAAACAUAAUAGUACCAAAACGAUAGAUAGUGUGACGAGUUGCUGACGAUCCCCGAGCAAGUGGCUGGAGUCAACGAUCUAAAAACAGAGAAACAUAACAAACGGAGUAAGCUUCCACAAGUAUAGUAAGUUUUAAGCAAUACAAAUAAUUAAAUUAAAUUAUAAAUCGAUCAAUCAAAUUCUCAAGUGACAUUUCUUAGGUAUAUUGCCAUUUGGCCGAAUAUAUAUACAAACAUUUAAUGUAUAUUUAGCAUAUUAACUUCACUUGAAUCUGAAUUCAUAUAACAUAAGUAAAUCAAAUAUUUUCACAUAACUUCACAUUUUGGUCGAAUGUAUCAGGAUCAUAUACAUAUAGUCUUAAUACUUAUUCACAUAUACAUCAUAUUACAUACUUGGGAUUCAAUCCCCAAUAAAGCUCAUAUAAGUACAAGAUACAUACCUGGCCAACUUAAGGUAUUACACGAUUUCAAUUGUCGUUUUGUCAUGAAAUCUCAAAAUUUUAGAUUUAUAUCAAAUAACCGGCAAUUAGCCUGCUAGGUUUAAAACCCGAAUUCAUCACCGGCACAAAGCCUCUAGACUUUAAGUCUGAACUCAUUCACCGACAUUACGCCUGCUAGGCUCGAAGCACGAUAUUAAUUCACCAGCAUUAUAGCCUGCUAGGCUCGAAGCCUGAUAUUAACUCACCGGUAUUAUAGCCUGCUAGGCUCGAAGGCUCGAAUAGUACCGUACGAUAAUCAAAUCAACAAGUUUCAUAUAACAUAAUCAUAUCAAUUAGGUACUAGCAUCAUGUGAACAUAUAUAAUUAUACAUCUCAAACACUUUUCUCUCAUCUCAUUUUCACACUUAGCAUUCGAUAGCUUAUGCAUAACAUUUCGCUCACAUUCAUUUCAAACUUAUCAUUCGAUUAUAAAAGCACAUUGCAUAUUUAUCAACAUGUUAUACUUGCCAUUAGGCCAUAUAAGCAUGAUACAAUACACCAUCAUUUCAUCUUUAACAUUCGGCUAAAUCCAUACCUUACAAGGAGUACCUAAUUCACAUAAUAUAUCAGAUUAUAAUCAAUUGUUAUUUACGUUUGAUUACUUAAAACUUACCUCAGAUGUUAUCGAACGAUUACAACGGCUAUUCGAUUACUUUCUCCUUUCCCCUAUCCAACUUUGGUCCUCUAAGUUCUUGAGCUAAAUCAAACAAAUUUACUUCUCAAUCAAACACAUACAUACGGCAACCAUAUACAUUUCAAAAACCAAUUCAUUCGUAUCAUUUGUCCACUUAAGUCUAUCACCAUUUCAUUUUCAAAUUUAUGUACUUUGUAAGUCACAUUCGAACACAUUCGGUACUAUGCAUCUUUUCAAAUAUUUCUUUUAACAUUAAACUCAACUUAUAACUUUCUUCUAAUUAAAAACAUUCAACACCAACUAGUCAUGCUUACAUGUCAUAGCCGAAUAUCAUUUUAGACAUUUGAGAAAUCAUUUCUCAACUCAACUUAUAAUUGUGAAUCUCAUUCAAAACAUCCACACCAAUUUAUUAUACAAUUAACCAUAGCCAAAUACUAAAUCAAAUAGAUAUUUGUUCACAUUUCCAUAACACAUAUUUAUCAACUAGUCCAUAUAUUAGCUUUUAGUCAUUAGAGUGACCUAUUUAACUUUCAAGCAUUCAUUUCUAAUUUUAAUUAAACGAUGCCGAAUGCCAUUAACUACUAAUGCCACACACACAUAUGCAUAAAAUUCAUCCAUACAUAACCUAUAGCUCAUUCGGCCAUUCAUCACUCAAACCAAUCAAAGCUUCAUAUCAAACUUCCUUGGCCGAGUACACAUAUAAGCACAUAAUGCACAUAUAUGCUCAUUUGUCUAGCUCAACUUCACCUAUCUACCAUUACUCAUAAAAAGAACAUGAAACAACCAUUUCCUUCAAUUCAAUUUAUGACCGAAUGCUCACAACACAAUAAUUUUCAAAAUUUAAACAUGGGUUAACUAAGCAAUGCUUUGACCAUGCUAAUUUCGCAAGAAUAUCAAGAAAAUACAUGGAACAUACCUUUGAAUCAUGCUAAGUAAAUGACAGAAUGUGCUUGAGCAUUUUCCUCUAUUUUUCUCUUAAUUUCGGCUAUGAAGAACAAAGAUGAACAAGUUUUGUCCUUUUCCUCAUUUUGUUAUUUUAUUUAUCUUUAUUUUAUAAUAUAAAGCCAUUAAAUAUUUUAAUGCUAAUUUAAAAUGCAUAUAUUGUUUAUCAUUAUCAUUAUGGCCAGCCACUACAAAUUAAAGUGGAAAAUUUGACAUGCAAAUCCACUUAUUUUAAACCAUAAAAUAUUUGGCCACUACAAAUUAACCUAUCACAUUUUCAAAAUUUCUCACAUAAGUCCUAUUUAAUAAUUUCACAUACAAAUGACAAAAUCAAAGUAUGAAAUUUUCAUACAUACACUUUCACAUAUAAUAAGCAUAGAAUAUAACAUUUAAUUAUUUUUUUGUGAUUCGGUUUUGUGAUCCCGAAACCACUUUUUGACUAGGAUCAAAUUAGGGCUGUCACAUCAUUGCCCUCUUCUUAUGUCAUUGGAUAAGAAAAAUAAAACGGCUCACAUAUCCUCGUUUCGGUUUGAAGCAUCAUGGUUAUUAGAAGACUCCUUUAAGAAGAUGAUUAUAGAGUCUUGGUAGAAUUUAACAGGGCUAUUAACAGAUAAGUUGGAGGGGUUAAAACAGAGAAUUCUUCUAUGGGCAAACCAAAUAAAUAAUGCAAGAAGAGGUAUCAAGUAGAAUAUAAAAAACAAUGGGAAUGCUUGCUGGAUGAGGAUAUAAGUGAAGAAAACUUGGCUAAAAUCAUUGAUACGAAAAUUUCUCUCAAUCUAGAAAUUGACAAAGAUAAAGCUUACUGGAAGCAAAGUGCACGUGUUAAUUGGCGGAGAUUAGGAGAUAGAAACACAACAUUCUUUCACAAAUGGGCCACACAACGACAUAAAACUAAUGAUAUUCGUAGUUUGCAAGAUCAUAAUGGGGGGAACAUGGAUGAUGAAGAUGGGAUACAAGGAUUAUAAAGAAUUAUUUUUAGGAUUUGUUUGCGUCUUUAGGAAUAAGUUAUACGGAGAUGAGUUUAUAGGGAGUGCAGAGAUGUAUAACUGAAGAUAUGAAUGCACAACUUACAGUAGAAUAUACGGCUGAAGAAAUAUGGGCAGCAUUAAAGGGAAUAGGUCCUACAAAAGCCCUCGGUACCGAUGGACUUCCAGUAAUUUUCUUUCAAAAAUGUUGGAACAUAGUUGGGACAGAGGUAACCUCUUUUUGUUUGGAGAUUUUAAAUCAGAGGAAAGAUUUAGAGAGUAUUAAUGGUACGAAUAUUGUUUUAAUUCCUAAAACCUCACAGCCCAUUGAUAUGAAGAACUUUAGGCCUAUUGGCCUGUGCAAUGUCCUCUACAAGAUAAUAGCUAAAGUAGUGGCUAAUAGAUUUUAAAAUGUCCUAAAAGUUUACAUUGAUAAAGCUCAAAGUGCAUUCGUUCCAGGCUGACUUAUUACGGAUAAUGUGCUUGUGGCUUAUGAGAUCAUGCAUACGUUGAAGAAUAAAAGAGUAGGGAAAAAAAGGGCAUGUGGCACUUAAACUGGCCAUGAGCAAAGCCUAUGAUAGGGUCGAAUGGGAAUUUCUUAGGGUUAUGAUGGAGAGAAUGGGUUUUGCACAAUCUUGGGUGGCUUUCAUAAUGAAGUGUAUUUCGACGGUCUCCUAUUCAGUUCUUUUAAAUAGGAAAAAGGGAGAAGUUUUCAAACCAAUAAGAGGACUCCGACAAGGGUACCCCCUCAGUCCCUAUUUAUUUCUAAUUUACAGUGAAGGCAUGUCCUCAAUUAUACACCCAGCUCUAAUAAGAAAGGAAAUCAAAGGAUUGAAAGCUAGCAGACGAGGACCUAAGAUCUCACACAUUCUCUUUGCAGACGACUGCAUCAUUUUUGGUGAGGCAAUAUUUUUAGGAGCUUGAUAGAUCAAGAAUAUUUUUGCAGAAUAUGAAUCCUACUCAGAUUAGUGUGUGAACUUUGCAAAGUCUAUAAUAUUCUUUAGCACGAAUACUACAGAAACAAAUAAAUUGAUAGUUACGGGCUUGCUAGGCAUGAGGAGAUCAACUGAUAUUGAGAAAUACCUAAGUCUCCCUAAUUUGAUAGGGAAGAAAAAGAAAACUUCUUUCCAAAAUUUAAAGGAUAGGAUGAAAAGAAAAAUUGAUGGAUAGAGUUCUAGGUUCUUGUUACAAAGUGGAAAAGAGGUUUUUAUUAAAUUAGUUUUGCAAGUGAUUCCAACUUAUUCUAUGAUGUGUUUUCUUUUGCCAAAAACUUUAUGUGAGGAAAUGGAAUCAAUUAUUGCAAGGUACUGGUGGCAGAAGGGUCAUGGACGAAAAGGAAUACAUUGGUGCAGUUGGAAGAAUAUUUGUGAAUUAAAAUAUGAAGGAGGAUUGAGUUUCCAGGAUUUGGCCAAGUUUAACGUGGCUCUACUUGCUAAGCAAGGUUGGCGGUUAGUUGAGCAUCCAGAUUCUUUAGUAGCACAGGUUUUAAAAGCAAAGUACUACCCGACCACUAAUUUUCUACAAGUAGGGCUAGGAUGUAGACCUUUAUACAUGUGGAAAAGUAUUUGGGCAGCAAAAGGUCUUAUUAAAGAAGGUUUGGGGUGGAGAGUUGGCACUAGGGAAAAAUCUUAAUUAAUGAGGAUGCGUGGCUCCUUCGGGCAGCUAAUUACAGAAUUUGUUAUCCUAUUCUUAAUACUGAUAUUACUACUGUCAUAUCAUUAAUUGUUUGUAAUAAUAGGAGGUGGAAGGAAGAACUGAUUCGCAAUACCUUUAAGGCAAACAAUUCAGACAGAAUCUUAUGAAUCCCACUAGCGUUAGACGAGCAUACUGAUAUGGUCAUCUGGUGUGCAGAGCGCUCGGGUAAGUUCACAAUUUGUAGUGCUUAUAGACUAUUACAGACCUAAGAUCAUACAUCAGACUCUACUGCUACACAAAAUACAACCAAACUAUUUUACAAACAACUCUGAACACUCCAAAUACCAAAUAAAAUUAAAAUUAUGCUAUGGAGGAUAACACGAAACUAUUCCCAUGAUGGGCAACUUGUUUCAGUGAAGAGUGGUCCGAGAUUAUAAGUGCCCUAGAUAUAAAGCUUGCUCUGAGAAUCUAUGGUCUACAUUCGUUGGGUGUCUUAUAGCAAUAGAGUUAUGGAGAAGAUUAGAUUUUGAAUGGAUAAAUCAAGGUGAACCCAGUGGAUGGUUUGAUUGGAUUACAUGGAUUUUUAGUAAAUAUGGAGAAACCCAGCAUCGCGUUUUUGUCUGUGGAAUGUGGGUACUAUGGCUUGACAGAAACAGAAAUUUACAUGAAGAGAAGUCAUAUAAAGGGGAAGAUGCAACAAAUCAUGUUAAAUAUUAUAUUGGCGAAAUUGAUGGAUUGAAUGGGAGACAACCUAAAAUUACCCAGGAAGUUGAAAACUGGAAAGCCUCUGAGAAAUAAAAAAUCAAAAUCAAUUUUGAUGCCUCGUUUGAUAGUAAAAAUAACAUAUCAGCAUCUGGGAUAGUGGCGAGAACUGAAAAUUGUAACAUCCCGAAUUAGGGCCUAGUCGGAACAGUGGUUUUGAAACCACAAAUCUAAAGUAGAAAUAAUUAUUUUAUGAUUAUUAUAAGGUCUAUGAUAUGUUUACAUUCUUGUGUGAAAAUUUCAUGAAGAAAUUUUGUCUAAGGUGCUCAAUUAGACUUUAAGGACUAAAUUGAAUAAAUUGUAAAAUAUGAGUUCUAGAAGUUUUCAGUAUGAAAUUGAAUUGGAGUUUUAAUUAGAGGGUCUUAAAUAGCAAUUUGACUCAGUUCUAAAAUUUUGGACAAAAAUGGACUUGAAUAGAUAAAAUUUUAAAGAAAGGCUAAAAGGGCAUUUUGGUCAUUUGGUCAUUAAAUGGACUAAUGUCUAAAUAAAUAUGGGAAUGUGUUGAAUUGGAUGUACAUUGUAUGGUUAGCUAUGCAUAUUGAGAUACUUGAUGAAAAUAGAAAAUCCUGGUUGAAUAAAAAGGGGAAUCCGAUGGAUAAACCAUGGCUUACAUGACUUGAGAUCCUGCAUGUAUUGCAGAAAAGGAUUUAGCCCGGACGGGUAAUCCGUUGAUCUCAAAUAUAGAAAAUGAUCUAGCCUGGACGGGUGUUCCUUGAGUGAUCGAGCCUCCCGAAGAAUAUGUGUGCAUUAAGAAUUUAGCCUGGACGGGUAAUCUGAUUAGGAUCUGAAUUUAGCCUGGACUGGUAAUUCAGAUCCGAUCUCAUUUGGGUAUAUGUCGUUGUAGGGUAUUUAGCCUGGACUGGUAAUCUCGACAAUACUCUAUGAGUUUAUAUUACUGGGGAUUUAGCCUGGAUUGGUAAUCUCGCCGUAAGAUGUAAGGUUUGCGGGAGUGCGUAUUUGAAAUGAUCACUUGUAUGACUUGACGGUAAAUGGAUUAUCCAUCGAGAUUUUUGAGAAAUUCAACGGGUAUUAUAAUGAAUAAUGCGAUGAAAGUCCCGAGAUGGGCAUGGUGAUAAAGGUAAAGUUAAUUGAUAUGCUACGGAUAUGUACAGGUACGUACAUUAUACUCAUAAGUGAUGCCUUAUUGAAAUGUGAUAAAUGAUGAGUAAGCAAAUUCAUGCAUAUGUAUGCGUAUACAUGAUAAACAAGUAAAAAGGUUUGAAAGAUGAACCAUCCUUAUGCUUAUGAUUAUGGAUUGUGUUGUAAUAUCAUGUUAAUUUACAUUGUGUAAUGAGAUAUGGGUUUCAUGAAAUGAUGAGUUCAUGAUCAAUAAGCUUAUAAUAGUUACUAUGAAUUUGCACUGAAACAGUUUUGGACAGCAAUAAUAGUCCAACUUUGAAAAUCCACCAAAAAUAAUGGAAAUUGAGUUAGAGACUGAAUCAAAUAUGAAAUUAAAGCUUAUUGGGUCUAGUUUCAGUUAAAAGGAAUGGUGCUAGUAAAGGAAUCUCAUAUGAUGAGAUAUUUGAAUUCUUGUGAGACAGUGUCAGAAUGAGUUCGAAAUCCCCUGUUUUGACUUGGGAAAAUUACUAGAAAUUGUACAAAAAUAAUUAUGAGUUAGAAUCAUAUUAAUGAAAUCCUUAAUGAGUAUAAUUUCAGUAUAAAGAUACGGAAACAUUAUCCGAGUCUCGUACUAUGCGAUAAAUAAAUUUUAGUGAAGAAAGGUAGAAGCUGUCAAACAGUGAAACAUGAGAGAAUUUGAAUAAUAAACUGUACUUAUUGGCUAGACAAAAAAUUCUGGAAAUUUUAUUGUAAGGAGAUAAAUGAGUCUAGUUUCAGAAAAAAUUAAUGAAUCUUAAUUUGGAGUUCUGUAACUCUAGAUAUAAAUAAAUUAAUAACUACGACUCGAGAAAACAGCUUAACCAGAAUAUGAGUAAAAGUGUCAUUAUGGUUGAUUGCCUAAGGAAACAUGUUGUUAUAAUGCUUAUUAUUUUCAUAUGGACUUACUAAGCUUUAGGCUUACUCCCUCCUUUCCAUUUCCUUAGUGUUCUCAGGUUAGCUUGGGGUUGGAGAUCGUCGGAGGCAGCAUCAAACUAUCAAGUUAUCAACUCUAGAGUAUUGUCAUACGUGUAUUAAACACUUUCAAGUGAGUGGCAUGUAUAAGGAUUAGGUUUUACAUUAGAUGUUGUUAUGAUUAGCCAAAUGUACCAGCUUAUAUUGAUCUAUUGUAUAUAGCCAUGAGAUGUGGCUUAUUAUGGUUAUGGCUUGUAAGUCUAAUUAUUCGUGCUAUGGGUUAAUGCAUGUCGUGUGAUUAUAAUUGGUUGCUAUGAAUAAUUAGUAUAACACAUGUAUAUGAUGAAUGUCCUAGAACCAUUCGAGGUGAUCACGGCCAUGGAAUGAAUAUAUGGCCUGGUAGUUAGUUGAAAAUGAUUAAACAUGGACAAUUGUAGAAUGUGUAGAGAUUAAAUGCUGGGUAAUAAACACAUGUAAGACAAUAUGCAAUUUAUUUAUUUGAAUCUUUCUCAAGGUCGAUUAACAAUUAAAUUGAUGCUAUAAGUUAGGUCCAUGAUGUGUAAAGUAUGGGAAAGAAUUAAGGACAACAUAAGGCUUCGAAAAUAGCCUAAGUGUUGGCCAUACGGGCAGAGAACGGCCAUGUUUCUCAGCCAUGUGGAGGACAUGGUCUAGCACACGGGCGUAUGGCUUGACCGUGUGGAUCAAUUUGUUUGGCUAACAUUAUAAAUAGAGAGUUACACUGGCCGAGGAUAUGAGCGUAUUCCAAGCCACACAGGCGUGUGUGACCACACGGCCCAACCCACACGGGCAUGUGACUCUCCAAAGCAAGAAAAUUGGUUAAGUUGUCAAAAGUUUGUCGAAAGUUCUCAGUUCAGUCCGAACCACCCCAAUGCAUGUUACAGGCUUCGAAGGCCUAUUUAAGGGACGAUAUGCAUGUGUUUAAGAUGUUUUAAUUUUGGGCAAAAAUUUUGUGACCUGAUUUUGCAUGUUGUGAAUGUUUAAGUCUGGUAACGCCUCGAACCCUGUCUCGGCAUUGAAUACGGGUAAGGAGUGUUACAAAAAUGAGGAGGUUGAAAUUUCUAAAUGUUACCUUCAUAUAACGGUAGGCACGGCCUUUGACGCAGAAGCGAUUGCCUGCUACGAAGCUGCUCUCACAAGAUUAAAGAUAGGAUACACAAAGGUUGUUAUUGAGAACGACUCCAAGUCCAUCAUCAACAAAUGCAUGACACAAUCGGUGGACAAAUCACAAGUUAGUGCGCAUAUUCGAAAUAUUCGAAGAGAAAAAAGUAAGUUCUAGACCAUUACAUUUCAUUAUGUUCCAAGAUCGGCUAAUCACUUAGCCAACACCAUUGCUACAACAAGUUUGAAGGAAAUGGAGACGAUUUACCUGCUUGGAGAGGUCCCUUGCUACACCAAUAGACAGUGGGAACUGGAUCACCCACGGGAACCUAAUUGAAACGAAGAAGAGGAAAACAGGGAAUGGGGUAUUUGAGAGCGACCCUAAUCAAAACUGUCAGGCCUCAUCUCCAAUGAAAAUGAAAAGUUAUCCGUGUAAAAGGCAAAGUUGGAGACAGGUCAUUCAAAAUGGAUGAGGAUUUUAAGUUUAUUUAUUGUUUUAAUUAGUUUUGGUCUUUUUGCUUCUACUUUUAGCCGUCGCUUUGUUUCUUUUUAGUCUGAUGAUUAGACUAGUGCUUUUC
rnacentral:lncRNA from 1 species